CAGAGCCACGGUAAUACGUAGGGUGCAAGCGUUAAUCGGAAUUACUGGGCGUAAAGCGUGCGCAGGCGGUUAUAUAAGUCAGAUGUGAAAUCCCCGGGCUCAACCUGGGAACUGCAUUUGAGACUGUAUGGCUAGAGUGUGUCAGAGGGGGGUAGAAUUCCACGUGUAGCAGUGAAAUGCGUAGAUAUGUGGAGGAAUACCGAUGGCGAAGGCAGCCCCCUGGGAUAACACUGGCGCUCAUGCACGGAAGCGUGGGGAGCAAACAGGAUUAGAUACCCGUGUAGUCCCUGUCUCUUAUACA
rnacentral:rRNA from 1 species